rnacentral:rRNA from 1 species
GGACGAACGCUGGCGGCGUGCUUACCCCAUGCAAGUCGUACGGUAAGGCCCUUUCGGGGGUACACGAGUGGCGAACGGGUGAGUAACACGUGAGUAACCUGCCCACAACUUUGGGAUAACGCUAGGAAACUGGUGCUAAUACUGGAUAUGUGCUCCUGCUGCAUGGUGGGGGUUGGAAAGCUCCGGCGGUUGUGGAUGGACUCGCGGCCUAUCAGCUUGUUGGUGGGGUAGUGGCCUACCAAGGCGGCGACGGGUAGCCGGCCUGAGGGGGUGACCGGCCACAUUGGGACUGAGAUACGGCCCAGACUCCUACGGGAGGCAGCAGUGGGGAAUAUUGCACAAUGGGCGCAAGCCUGAUGCAGCAACGCCGCGUGCGGGAUGACGGCCUUCGGGUUGUAAACCGCUUUCAGCAGGGACGAAGCUUUUUGUGACGGUACCUGCAGAAGAAGCACCGGCUAACUACGUG